CCAAUCGAACCCGGAGAUAGCUGGUUCUCCUCGAAAUAGCUUUAGGGCUAGCCUCGUGUUAACCUUGUGGAGGUAGAGCACUGAAUAUCCUAGGGGGCGUCAAAGUCUACCGAAGAUUAUCAAACUCCGAAUGCCAUAGAGGUGAUGCACGGGAGUCAGACUGCACGAGAUAAGUUGGGUGGUCAAAAGGGAAAGAGCCCAGACCUACAGCUAAGGUCCCAAAGUGCGUGUUAAGUGGAAAAGGAUGUGGGAUUUCGAAGACAACUAGGAUGUUGGCUCAGAAGCAGCCAUACAUUCAAAGAGUGCGUAAUAGCUCACUAGUCGAGAGGUCCUGCGCCGAAAAUGUCCGGGGCUGAAACACACUACCGAAGCUUAGGAAUUGAUGAAUGUCAAUUGGUAGAGGAGCAUUCUUACCGAGACGAAGCUGUACCGGAAGGAGCAGUGGAUUGGUAAGAAGAGAGAAUGCCGGAAUGAGUAGCGAGAGGAAGGUGAGAAUCCUUCCGGCCGAAUAUCCAAGGUUUCCAGAGUAAAGCUGAUCUGCUCUGGGUAAGUCGGGGCCUAAGGCGAGGUCGAAAGACGUAGUCGAUGGAUAACAGGUGGAGAUUCCUGUACUAUGUGUACCCAGAACUGUGGGGACGCAUGUGGAGAGCAUGAGCCGGGAAAGAGAAAACCGGUACAAGCGGGGUAGGAGUAAGGACAGCAAAUCUUCCUUACAAUCCGAAGACGUGAUGUGGACCGAACCAAAGUAGGGAAGCAUGUGAGCCAUGUGCCAAGAAAAGCCGCUAUUGUGAUACACAUACCCGUACCGUAAACCGACACAGGUGGAUGAGGAGAGAAUCCUAAGGCCGACGGGAGAAGCAUUGUUAAGGAACUCGGCAAAAUGACCCCGUAACUUCGGGAGAAGGGGUGCCAGGGAGACCUGGCCGCAGAGAAUAGGCUCAAGCAACUGUUUAGCAAAAACACAGGUCUAUGCGAAACCGAAAGGUGAGGUAUAUGGGCUGACGCCUGCCCGGUGCUGGAAGGUUAAGAGGAGAGGUUAGCGGUAACGCGAAGCUUUGAAUUUAAGCCCCAGUAAACGGCGGCCGUAACUAUAACGGUCCUAAGGUAGCGAAAUUCCUUGUCGGGUAAGUUCCGACCCGCACGAAAGGCGUAAUGAUUUGAGCGCUGUCUCGACAAUGCAUCCGGUGAAAUUGAAGUACCAGUGAAGAUGCUGGUUACCUGCGCCAGGACGGAAAGACCCCAUGGAGCUUUACUCCAGUUUGGUACUGGGAUCCGGUGCUGCAUGUACAGGAUAGGUGGGAGACUGAGAACACAGAACGCCAGUUGUGUGGGAGUCGCUGUUGGGAUACCACCCUUGCAGUAUUGGGUUUCUAACCAUCCGCCGUGACCCGGCGGUGGGACAAUGCCAGGCGGGGAGUUUGACUGGGGCGGUCGCCUCCGAAAGGGUAUCGGAGGCGCCCAAAGGUUCCCUCAGAAUGGACGGAAACCAUUCGCAGAGUGCAAAGGCAGAAGGGAGCUUGACUGCGACACCGACGGGUGGAGCAGGUACGAAAGUAGGACUUAGUGAUCCGGUGGUAUAAAGUGGGAUUGCCAUCGCUCAACGGAUAAAAGCUACCCUGGGGAUAACAGGCUUAUCACUCCCAAGAGUUCACAUCGACGGAGUGGUUUGGCACCUCGAUGUCGGCUCAUCGCAUCCUGGGGCUGUAGUAGGUCCCAAGGGUUGGGCUGUUCGCCCAUUAAAGCGGUACGCGAGCUGGGUUCAGAACGUCGUGAGACAGUUCGGUCCCUAUCCGGCGUGGGCGUAGGAUAUCUGAGAGGAGCUGUCCUUAGUACGAGAGGACCGGGAUGGACGGGCCGCUGGUGUACCGGUUAGACUGCCAAGUCUACGGCCGGGUAGCCAAGCCUGGAAGGGAUAAACGCUGAAGGCAUCUAAGCGUGAAGCCCCCCUCAAGAUGAGAUAUCCCAUUCGAAAGAAGUAAGACCCCUUGAAGACGACGAGGUAGAUAGGGCAGAGGUGGAAGUGCGGUAACGUAUGGAGCUGACUGCUACUAAUCGGUCGAGGGCUUGACCAA
rnacentral:rRNA from 1 species